AACUGAUAGAUUUGUGAUCAAUGUGUGUCAUAUUGAUAUUUCUGAUUGAAGGGGAUAAAAUAACAAAAAUUUAAUUCAGAAAGCUAUUAUUAUUUUUCAGCCGCUAUUCUUUGCGAGAGAGCAAAUACAAUCGCGAAUCGCGACAUCGAAGCAAAAGCUACGAAAAGAACUCCGCAUCUCGUAUCUAAAAAAGCGCUUUUAUGUGAGUGUGAACAACUACAAUCGCGACAUCACAGCAAAAGCUAAGAAAAGAACUCCGCAUCUCGUAUCUAAAAAAGCACGACCCGUCUUACUUCAGCAUUAAACAGCGGAGACGAACUUGGCGUGCACGAGAUACCAAAACAAAAGUGAUGGCCAACGCAUGAAACACGAAUCUCUCCCGCAUCUACAAACACAACCCAUUGUCAGUCCCUACAAAAGCUACAUUCGCGGCUGUCUUGUCACUCUGUGGAGCGAUAGGAUUUAUAGGCAAUACGUUAGUGUUAGUUUUCGAGAGAAAAAAACGCAAAGCUGCAGACACACCUUCAAAGCGAAGGGCCUUCGAGCGAUCGCUUACGCUGUACCUAUUGAAGAGCUUGGCGCUUACGGAUCUUUUGUGUUCGGUAAUAAACCCUCCUCUUCUUUUGAAUUUGAUGGACGAAAAGCACACAGCAAAUUGGCACUGUGUUGUAAAUAACAUUACUUUGUUUUGUUUUCCUAUCAUAACCGUUUUGAAUCUUGUUGUCAUAAGUUUAGAUCGCUAUAUGGCGGUUUUCCACCCGUUUCGAACAUUCACUCGCGCCUUUGCAAAAAAGCUUGUGAUCGCUGCGUGGAUCGUGGGUGCAAUUCUAGCGGUCGUCCUAACCCUUCAGACUAAAAACAUGUCCAUAGAGCUAGACGACAAUGUGUAUACGUUCUCAUGUAUAGGGAGCAGCAAGGAAGUGUGGGAAAAAGUAGUUUUUGGUGUCAUUACCUUACUAGUUUACUUGGUGCCAAACGCCAUUA